rnacentral:rRNA from 1 species
GGAAUUGUUCACAAUGGGCGCAAGCCUGAUGACGCAACGCCGCGUGGAGGAUGAAGGUCUUCGGAUUGUAAACUCCUGUUGCCCGGGACGAACGGCUUCAACCUAAUACGUUGGAGAUUGACGGUACCGGGUGAGGAAUCCCCGGCUAACUCUGUUCCAGCAGCCGCGGUAAUACAGAGGGGGCAAGCGGUGUUCGGAAUUACUGGGCGUAAAGGGCGCGUAGGCGGCCUUCUAAGUCGAACGUGAAAUCCCCGGGCCCAACCCGGGAACUGCGUCCGAUACUGGAAGGCUUGAAUCCGGGAGAGGGAUGCGGAAUUCCAGGUGUAGCGGUGAAAUGCGUAGAUAUCUGGAGGAACACCGGUGGCGAAGGCGGCAUCCUGGACCGGUAUUGACGCUGAGGCGCGAAAGCCAGGGGAGCAAA